AACUAACGCUAUUAUUGAUAAAAACAGUUUCUGUACUAUAUUG
rnacentral:misc_RNA from 1 species